rnacentral:rRNA from 1 species
GAGUUUGAUCAUGGCUCAGGACGAACGCUGGCGGCGUGCUUAACACAUGCAAGUCGAACGAUGAACCACUUCGGUGGGGAUUAGUGGCGAACGGGUGAGUAACACGUGGGCAAUCUGCCCUGCACUCUGGGACAAGCCCUGGAAAACGGGGUCUAAUACCGGGUAUGAGCCUGGGAGGCAUCUCCCGGGUUGUAAAGCUCCGGCGGUGCAGGAUGAGCCCGCGGCCUAUCAGCUUGUUGGUGAGGUAGUGGCUCACCAAGGCGACGACGGGUAGCCGGCCUGAGAGGGCGACCGGCCACACUGGGACUGAGACACGGCCCAGACUCCUACGGGAGGCAGCAGUGGGGAAUAUUGCACAAUGGGCGAAAGCCUGAUGCAGCGACGCCGCGUGAGGGAUGACGGCCUUCGGUUGUAA